ACAGAGCCACUUGUCAUCAGAAAGGUGAUCUCUCAGCAGAAUAUUUCAAUGACUUGACAUGUUCUGGUUGUGAAUUCAGGCUACAAGGGGUCAUUGCUCGAAAAUGAGUCUCUCUGGGGAGAGAGAGGAGGGCGGCCAUGCCUCUAAAAUGAGUCUCUCUGGGGAACAUGACACCAAAGCUAAGAGAAAUGAAGUCUUCUGGGUACCUUCAUGUGUAAAAUAUUACUGUUCUAAGAUUCAUAGAUUUUAGUGUCUGAUAUUUUCUCCUAAACGUCAACUGAGCGGUGCAGAGACACCAUUCAAAUGUGUGCAGAUUCAUUACAUCUUCAGCUGGAAACACUAAGUGAUGUUGUCCGUCUGUGACCAAGAGAAAGUGGUCUUAGUUCAAUUCUAUGAAAUUAUUUAGUAUUUAUUUUCAUUUUGGGGGCUGAACAUCACAGCGAAUAUUGUUACAUCACAGCGAAUAUUGUUACAUCACAGCGAAUAUUGUUACAUCACAGCGAAUAUUGUUACAUCAGAGCGAAUAUUGUUACAUCACAGCGAAUAUUGUUACAUCACAGCGAAUAUUGUUACAUCACAGCGAAUAUUGUUACAUCACAGCGAAUAUUGUUACAUCACAGUGAAUAUUGUUACAUCAGUGAAUAUUGUUACAUCACAGCAAAUAUUGUUACAUCACAGUGAAUAUUGUUACAUCACAGUGAAUAUUGUUACA